AGAGUUUGAUCCUGGCUCACAACGAACGCUGGCGGCAUGCCUAACACAUGCAAGUCGAACGCUUUCGGGGGUUUCGGCCUCCGAGGGAGUGGCAGACGGGUGAGUAGCGCGUGGGAACCUGCCCCUUUGUGGGGGAUAACCGAGGGAAACUUCGGCUAAUACCGCAUGCGCCGGGAGCAAUCCCGGGAAAGAUUUAUCGCAGAGGGAGGGGCCCGCGUCGGAUUAGGUAGUUGGUGGGGUAACGGCCUACCAAGCCUGUGAUCCGUAGCUGGUCUGAGAGGAUGAUCAGCCACACUGGGACUGAGACACGGCCCAGACUCCUACGGGAGGCAGCAGUGGGGAAUAUUGGACAAUGGGCGCAAGCCUGAUCCAGCAAUGCCGCGUGAGUGAUGAAGGCCUUAGGGUUGUAAAGCUCUUUCGGCGGGGACGAUGAUGACGGUACCCGCAGAAGAAGCCCCGGCUAACUUCGUGCCAGCAGCCGCGGUAAUACGAAGGGGGCGAGCGUUGUUCGGAUUUACUGGGCGUAAAGGGCGCGUAGGCGGCGGUCCAAGUCGAGUGUGAAAGCCCCGGGCUCAACCCGGGAGGUGCGCUCGAGACUGGAUUGCUAGAGUUCGGGAGAGGAGCGUGGAAUUCCCAGUGUAAAGGUGAAAUUCGUAGAUAUUGGGAAGAACACCAGUGGCGAAGGCGGCGCUCUGGACCGAAACUGACGCUGAGGCGCGAAAGCGUGGGGACCAAACAGGAUUACAUACCCUGGUAGUCC
rnacentral:rRNA from 1 species